rnacentral:lncRNA from 10 species
CAGGCUCAGAGUUUAUCACGUAACAGGACUUGAGUAGUGAUUCCUCCCCAGAGGGGUGAGACGUCGUCACAACACUAUAAAGUAAUAACUGCCAUCACAUAACAUACAACAUGCAACCACUCUGGCAUGGGACAGCUGGGAAAUGCUCCACAGGGAAAAUGAUUUGAAGUUGGAGAUGAAGAAAGAGUCCAAUUCUUGCCACAUGGGAAAGUGAAAAAGGAGAAAAGAGCAUUCAAAGGCUCAGGGGAGAAAGCGUGCAGGCUUGUAUUUCUCUGGAGUUCACAGGACAAUGCUGAAAAUGUUGUGCUCUAAGAUCUGUGCUGAAAUAGUUCUCUACCUUUCAUCAAUAUGCAAAUUCAGAAUUCAGCCAGGAUCCUUAAAGAGCUGAUUGAUGGCUGCGUCAGCUCUGUGACAUCACCCUGACAGAUGUGGUCGUUUGCUGUCACCUUGUGACACACAUUCUCCUCUCUGUGUUGACAUAUCAUCGCCCACAUGACAGCCAGCCAUAAAGCAGGGUCUCCCUCUGUUGCCCAGCCUGGAGUGCAGUAGCAUGAUUCCAGCUCACCGCAACCUUGACCUUCUGGGGCUCAAGUCAUCGAGAUUACAGGCAUGCACUACCACAUGCCUGAUGUGAGCUGAAAAAUUUCUAUUGCCUGGUGACAUCAUAGUCAUUGUAACAGGUGUUGGUGUAAAGACAGACCUACAGAUGAAUGAAACAGAACAAAAAAUCCCCAAAUAGAACCAUAAAUGUAUGCCAAUUGAUUUUUGACAAUGGUGUGAGGGCAAUUCAUGGAAGAUAUGUAUAAGAAAAUAAUUAAAUAAACCUUGCUCAAUCCAUACAUCACACAGCGCACAAAAGUUAAUAUGCAGUGGAUCACAGAUCUAAAUGAAAGAACUCAAACUAUAAAACUUCUAGAAAAAAUGUAGAAGAAAGUCUUUGUUAUCUUGAAUUAGGCAAAUAUAUCUUAAUAGGACUUAAAAAGCACAAAACUUAAAGAAACAAUCAAUACAGUAGACUUCAAAAUUAAAAGCUUUUUCUCUUCAAAAGAUACAGUUAAGAACAUGAAAAGGCAAGCCAGAAGGUGGGAGAAAAUAUUAAUAUUUGUAAAAUAUCUUUCCAAUAAAUGCUUGUAUCUAGAUUAUGUAAAGAACUCUUAAAAUUCAAUAAUAAAAAAUCAAAGCACCCAGUAAGAAAAUGGGCAAAAGACUUGACACUUUAUCAAAGAAGAUAUACAACACACAAGUACACGAAAAGAUGUUUAACAUCAUUAGCCAUUAGGCAAAUGCAAAUUAAAAUCACAAAAGAUACCAUGACACACCCACUAGAAGGGCUCAAAUUUAAAAGACUGACAAUACCAAUUAUUGGUGAGGAUGUGGAGCAACCGGACCUCCAUAUACUGCUAGUGAGAAUGUGUAAUGGCACAGACACUAUGGAAAACAGUUUAUCAGUUUUUUAAAACCUUAAACAUACACCUACCACACACACAGCCAUUUCACUCCUACGUAUUUAUCCAAGAGAAAUGAAAGCUUAUUUCCAGACAAAGACUUGUACAUGAAUGUUUAUGGCAACUUUAUUUUAACAGCAAAACAGGAAACAUUCUAAAUUUCUAUCAACAGAAGAAUAAACAAAAUGGUAUAGCCAUAUAAUAGAAUAUUACUCUAAUUAAAAGGAACAAACUAUUGAUAUACAAAACAACAGGGAUUAAUCUCAGAAUCACCAUGGUGAGUGAAAAAAAGCUCCACCAAAAAAAAAAAGAGUACAUACUGUAUAACUCCACUUACAUAAAAUUCUAUAAAAUGCAAAGUAAUUUAUAGUGACAGCAUGUCAGUUGUUUUCUAGGGUGUGAGUAGAAGGCGGGAUGAGUUUCAAAUGAGCAUGCACACACUUUGGAGAGUGAAAUAGUCUUUCUAUUAAUUGUGGUGACGGUUUCCUUAUUAGUUUCAAAAGAGCAAAGAGUACAGCUUAGGUCUAUUCCUAUGUCAUAUCUCAUUAAAUUGCACUUUUUAAAUAUGUGCAGUUCAUUCUGUGUCAAUUUUACCUCAAGGAAACUUCAAGUUACCUGCGCGUGGAACUGUUCACUAUCCCUUCAACCACAUUUCCUCAUUCACAACCCACUCAACAACAUCGUUUUAAAAGAUGAGACGUCUGUCUUUGUAGUCUGGCAUGCAUCCAUCAAAUAAAGAUACUCAUUUUCUUCUAACAGAAAACACAGAUGGAUGUGAAGAGGUCAGGCAACAACAGAGCAGGUAUUUGAUAACACUAAUUGGAGGACGCUGGGAGCACUGAAAAUGGACAUUUGACAUUUCCUUGACAUCUGACAUUUCCUUGUUCUUUGUCAUGCCACCUGGCCUAGUCCCUUACCUGGAAUUGCUUUGGAAAUCCCAAAGUCAACCUAUCUUCAUCAAAUAAUGCACUGUUCCAAGAAACUGCUUGAGUUGUCACAUGGCUUUUAGCAAAAGCAUAUAACUCAGCUUGUUUUUUGGUUUAUUUUUUUGAGACAGUGUCUCACUCUGUCACCCAUGCUGAGUGCAGUGGCACAAUCUCA